ACUGCUCAGUAACACGUGGGUAACCUGCCUUAUAGAGGGGGAUAGCCUUCCGAAAGGAAGAUUAAUACCGCAUAACAUUUUUGUUUCGCAUGAAAUGAAAAUCAAAGGAGCAAUCCGCUAUAAGAUGGACCCGCGGCGCAUUAGCUAGUUGGUGAGGUAAUGGCUCACCAAGGCGACGAUGCGUAGCCGACCUGAGAGGGUGAUCGGCCACAUUGGAACUGAGAUACGGUCCAGACUCCUACGGGAGGCAGCAGUGGGGAAUAUUGCACAAUGGGGGAAACCCUGAUGCAGCAACGCCGCGUGAGUGAUGAAGGCCUUCGGGUUGUAAAGCUCUGUCUUUGGGGACGAUAAUGACGGUACCCAAGGAGGAAGCCACGGCUAACUACGUGCCAGCAGCCGCGGUAAUACGUAGGUGGCAAGCGUUGUCCGGAUUUACUGGGCGUAAAGGGAGCGUAGGUGGAUAUUUAAGUGGGAUGUGAAAUACCUGAGCUUAACUUGGGUGCUGCAUUCCAAACUGGAUAUCUAGAGUGCAGGAGAGGAAAGUGGAAUUCCUAGUGUAGCGGUGAAAUGCGUAGAGAUUAGGAAGAACCCCAGUGGCGAAGGCGACUUUCUGGACUGUAACUGACACUGAGGCUCGAAAGCGUGGGGAGCAAACAGGAUUAGAUACCCUGGUAGUCCACGCCGUAAACGAUGGAUACUAGGUGUGGGGGUUUCAACACCUCCGUGCCGCCGUUAACACAAUAAGUAUCCCGCCUGGGGAGUACGGUCGCAAGAUUAAAACUCAAAGGAAUUGGCGGGGGAGCAC
rnacentral:rRNA from 1 species